rnacentral:lncRNA from 1 species
AAAAAAAAAAAGAAAUGUGAUUAACGUUAGGUAAAAUGAAAGAGUACUCUCUAUCUGAAGUCCUUUGUCGCUCUGGUUGAGGACAGUAAAAAUAACUACCCUGGAAUCAGGAUGUGGCACUGAGGUCCAGACACCCACCACUGUCACUGCUGAUGGUACAAAAGCCACCACCUGCUUUCUUUGGGACCAGACUUUUUUCCUAUAUGUGAAGAGUCUGUAUUAGAUGAGAUUAUCUCUUUAGUACUUUCCCACUCUGAUAUUCUGACUUUUAACUCUUACAAAGAAUAACUCCUCAGGGGUGAAGGGUGCAGAGGUAAUGGGAGAAAAAAUAAGAACUAAGAUACAUCGUGUUAUGGUACAAACACCCAGUGAUAAAUGUAAAUGUAUUUUAUACCUAAAAUGUACCAAUAAAUAUAUAAAUUAAAAUAAAAAAGAAUAACUCCUCAGAAGUACACAUCUCUAAAUAGUCGCACUAUAAUUUUAAAGCUGACAUGAAAGUCAAUGUAGAGCUUUACUAGUCUCCCUAGACAGUCUUUCUCUAAGUUUAAACACAACAAUGUACACUUGUGCCAAUUGCAUGACAUGACUAAGCACCUUGAGCUAAUAUAAAUAGAUGUCCCCAUGUACUACCUUGAUUAUAACUGUUAGAUAAUGUGCUCCAGAGGUGCUGAAGCCCGACCUAAAUGUAUGCCAGGGGCGAGGAAUAUAGCCCAGUGGUACAACACAUGCAUGGCAUGCACAAGGCACUGGGUUCAAGUUAAAAAUUCUUUUGAAGAUUCAAUUAAGCCAUUGGGAGCAGAAAACCUAAGGGAUGGCAUCAUGGAUGAGACCAGAUGGAGCCUAAACUUCAUAAAUGGCUGUCCAAGGGAGGCCCCAAAAAGGAAGCUGGUCUACUUGGUUGAUAAUGCCUGUGUGCGAGAGAAAUAAUAUAGUUGAAUAAGCAACAAGGAACACAAAGGUAGAGCAACAUAAAGGUCUGUCAGAGGAGUGAGUGCACCUGGAUCUGACAAGAUGGAUAGAAGGAGACAUAGUAGUCUCAGCAGUGAGAAUGCACAGGUCAAAUCCACACACAAGAUAUAAGGAGAGCAAUAGACAAGAUACCAAAUCUCUUUUAGAAAAAAAUGAAGAGUCAAAAUGCAUUUAACCAUCUGAUCAUACAGAGCUCCCUCAAAUUCAAAUCAUAUAGUCUUAAAAACAAAAGACAAACCUCAACC